rnacentral:rRNA from 1 species
UACGAAGGGGGCUAGCGUUGCUCGGAAUUACUGGGCGUAAAGCGCACGUAGGCGGCUUUGUAAGUUAGAGGUGAAAGCCCAGGGCUUAACCCUGGAAUUGCCUUUAAGACUGCAUCGCUAGAAUCGUGGAGAGGUGAGUGGAAUUCCGAGUGUAGAGGUGAAAUUCGUAGAUAUUCGGAGGAACACCAGUGGCGAAGGCGACUGCCUGGACGAACAUUGACGCUGAGGUGCGAAAGCGUGGGGAGCAAACAGG